rnacentral:lncRNA from 1 species
UCUUCCAAAGAUACUCCUCUUACUGAAGGAUAAAGUAGUCACUAUCAAAAUAUAGUAAUCCAAAUAGGUUGGAAUCUAUCCCACAGGGAAUACAUUAGAAAUCCUCAUCAAACAUGUUAAAAUCACUAGGCAAUGUGGAAAAAUAAAAGGGGGGAUUUGUAGUUACUAGUAGGAAGUAACAAGAAUUGAAUUAUUUUGGUUUUAAAUAAAUUAAGAUGAACACUAACCUUGCGUUCCCC